GCUCCAGUGGUGUAGUCCGGUCAAGCAUAUCGCCCUUUCAAGGCGAUGAUCUCGGGUUCAAAUCCCGACUGGAGCACCA
rnacentral:tRNA from 1 species